GGGACUAGAGCUCAGUGGUAGAGCACGUGGUUGGCACGCAUGAGGUCCUGGGUUCAAUCCCCAGUGCCUCCA
rfam:Camelus ferus unplaced genomic scaffold scaffold526, whole genome shotgun sequence.